rnacentral:misc_RNA from 1 species
UUUUUUCCUCAAACGUACCUUCUUUUUGCUCGCUUUUCCCGUUCGGUUUCCAGUUUCCAGUACCCGCCACCGCACGAUCACGUCACUGCUUCCAACUUCCUCUGGCCUGUGUGGUGUACUGCUCACUCAACGCGAGAGACUUUCAUUAUUUCAGCAGAGAUCCGUGUUGCGAAUCUCAAAAUGGAGACUCGCCACCAUCUCAACACCAAGAUGGUGCCGUCGUACCAGGCACCGCUGUCCAAGGUGACCGCCGCCGACCUGACGGUGGAGCGCCUGCCCGGCUGCAAGUACAUGAACCCCUCAAAGAAGCACAUUCUCCGUGAGGAGUACCGCGACAAGGUGGAGCACAUCAUGUACGACCCUCGCCCGCAGGAGGACCUGGACGCCGAGUACCCGGUGUCGUGCAACAAGCUGGUGUGCGAACUGGCUGCCGCCCGCAAGCACCUCCACUUCAACCCUUCCGAGACCUCCAUCGGUAUUGUAACCUGCGGCGGCAUCUGCCCUGGUCUGAACGACGUCAUCCGCUCCAUCACGCUGACGGGCAUCAUAUCCUACCGCGUCAAGCGCGUUGUCGGUUUCCGUUACGGCUACUGGGGCCUGUCGAAGGAGGGCAGCAAGACUGCCAUAGAGCUGUCCCGCUCGGAUGUGCGCCAGAUUCACCGCUUCGGCGGCACGAUCCUGGGUAGCUCUCGCGGUCCGCAGAACCCGAAGGAGAUGGUCGACACGCUUGUGCGCAUGAAGAUCAACAUCCUCUUCACCGUUGGUGGUGAUGGCACGCAGCGCGGUGCGCUAACGAUCUACGAGGAGGCCAAGCGCCGGGGCGAGAACAUCGCCGUCUUCGGUGUGCCCAAGACGAUCGAUAACGACCUUGCCUUCUCCCAUCGCACCUUUGGCUUUCAGACUGCCGUCGAGCAAGCUGUGAACGCCGUGCGCGCCGCCUACGCCGAGGCUGUGUCCCUCAACUACGGUGUCGGCAUCGUGAAGCUGAUGGGUCGUGAGAGCGGCUUCAUUGCUGCCCAGACGACUGUGGCCAGCGCGCAGGCGAACAUCUGCCUCAUUCCUGAGAACCCGUUGCCAAAGGAGACGGUGAUGCGCCUGAUUGAGCGCCGCCUUCAGCAGUCGCGCAACUGCGUCAUCGUGGUUGCCGAGGGCUUCGGCCAGGACUGGGAGACCGGCACGGGCGGCCAUGACGCCUCCGGUAACAAGAAGCUCGUCGACAUUGGCUUCAUCCUGAAGAAGGAGGUGGAGAGCUGGCUGCGAGCAAACAAGGAGAAGUUCCCGCAGGGUACUGUCAAAUAUAUCGACCCCUCGUACAUGAUCCGCGCCUGCCCGCCGUCUUCCAACGACGCGCUCUUCUGCACCAACCUGGCAACUCUUGCCGUGCACGAGGCCAUGGCCGGUGCCACCGGCUGCAUCAUCUCAAUGCGCUACAACAACUAUAUCCUCGUGCCCAUCAAGGCGGCCACGUCGGUGCGCCGGGUCGUUAGUCUCCGUGGCGCCCUCUGGCGCCAGGUGCGUGAGAUCACCGUGGGCCUGAGCGACGAUGUGCAGCAGUGGAACGAGCAGGACCUGCGCCGCCACCUGGAGUCGCUGAAUGUUGAGCGCGAGCGCAUAAUUGCGCGCCUGGCGUCUAAGGUGUAAUGUACAUAAAGGGGGGUAAAGAAGGAGCCGGCGUGCGCGCGCGCGUGUGUAGAGGGAAGAGAGGCGUGCGACAGAGGGAGGAGGGAGAGGGCGGGGAGGUAAGACUUCCACUUCCCGCUACGGUGACGGUGUCUCCUCCAAAGCGAGAGGGCUUGCCAGAAUGACAAGAGAUUGAGGGAGAGGGGGACGUGAUGGGGAGCAAGCGCGAGGCGAAGAUCCAAAAAAAAAAGAAAAUCAGGAAAGCCAACGGAGGUUGUGAAGAGGAGCAACGACUGUCAUGCGUAUUUACCCUCAGACGUGAAAAGCCCAACUGCGGUGCCGCAGAGGGGUACGGGCGGCGAUUCUCUAUACGUUGGCGCGUCACUGGCACCAGUAUACUUGCACCCACCCAGACUUGGUCACACACCCCUCCGCUCAGGCGUGCUCGCCUGCUUGGGACUUCUCUACUUUCGCCCCAGUAUUACCAGAAGUGGGAUGCGGCAGAUUGGAGUUUCACCAGCUGCGUGUGCAUGUGUACGUGUGCGCGUGCCUCGACGACGUGCGCUUGUUGGGGUUCGCUGCAUGCACCUCGUUCCCACGCCUUCUCUCCGCGUGGGACCUCGCUUCGUUUCGUCGUGCGUUUCUGGAUGCCUUCGUUGUUGGGGUUUCUUAUGGCUGGUGCUUUCUCGUCUAGUCAUGAACGCCUCUCCUCACCUUUUUUCCCGUUGGUUCCGCCUCGUCUUACUGCUGGGCAAGGCAUGCGCUUGUGCAUCUCGGCAUUACGAACGCAGGACGCGUGUGUGAACUCUCUGCACUCUGUUGCCUCUCCCUCUCUCCUUCACACCCCCUCUCCCCCUUUCAACUCACUCUCUCUGCACACCUCUCCAAG